AUUUGUGCACAACUUUGUCAGUUCAUUAAGUAUAUAUAUUAUUAAUUACUGUUAAGUCCCGCUUCGUGCGUGAUUACAAUGUAGCAUCCGCUAAUAGUUUAAAAUGUAACUCGCCGGGGCUAUGAAAUUGUCUGCACCUUGAUCUGUCUUUUUGGUUAUUACCAUGGUGAUAAAACUUAUAGUGUUAUCUGACGACGACGGCAUACAAGAGUUUUUCACAGUUGUUGUACCUUGGUGGUUAUCAUUUAUCUGGUAAGUUCCCCUAAAUUAAAAUUACCGCCAUGUUGUUUAAGUUUUAACUUUGAUAGUUGUAGUACUCCGCAAGAUAUAGUAGCAUUUGUAUAAAGGGGUAUCUAAUCCCUGUUUAGCACCAAUGUUAAAGAAGUGUAACAUGCAGUUAGAGGUAGUAAUUGAUAUAUUUCACCACUUGUGUAAUAUUGCUGGCGUGUUGAGUUGCUUUUUUUUCCUACAUUACUAAAGUGUGACCGC
rnacentral:rRNA from 1 species